AGUGAACGCUGGCGGUAGGCCUAACACAUGCAAGUCGAACGGCAGCACAGUAAGAGCUUGCUCUUACGGGUGGCGAGUGGCGGACGGGUGAGGAAUACAUCGGAAUCUACUUUUUCGUGGGGGAUAACGUAGGGAAACUUACGCUAAUACCGCGUACGACCUACGGGUGAAAGCAGGGGAUCUUCGGACCUUGCGCGAUUGAAUGAGCCGAUGUCGGAUUAGCUAGUUGGCGGGGUAAAGGCCCACCAAGGCGACGAUCCGUAGCUGGUCUGAGAGGAUGAUCAGCCACACUGGAACUGAGACACGGUCCAGACUCCUACGGAAGGCAGCAGUGGGGAAUAUUGGACAAUGGGCGCAAGCCUGAUCCAGCCAUACCGCGUGGGUGAAGAAGGCCUUCGGGUUGUAAAGCCCUUUUGUUGGGAAAGAAAAGCAGCAGGUUAAUACCCCGCUGUUCUGACGGUACCCAAAGAAUAAGCACCGGCUAACUUCGUG
rnacentral:rRNA from 1 species